rnacentral:rRNA from 1 species
CCUACGGGUGGCAGCAGUAGGGAAUCUUUCACAAUGGGCGAAAGCCUGAUGGAGCAACGCCGCGUGCACGAUGAAGGCCUUCGGGUUGUAAACUGCUUUUAUAAGCGAGAAAUGUGAUGGCAACUUAUGAAUAAGGAUCGGCUAACUACGUGCCAGCAGCAGCGGUCAUACGUAGGAUCCGAGAAUUAUCAGGAGUGACUGGGUGUAAAGAGUGGCGUAGGUGGCACAAUAAGUAGCUAGUGAAAGCUGGUGGCUCAACCAUUCAGACUAUUAGCUAAACUGUUAAGCUGGAGAGCAUUAGGGGUAACUGGAAUUUCUAGUGUAGGAGUGAAAUCCGUAGAUAUUAGAAGGAACACCAAUAGCGUAGGCAGGUUGCUGGGACGGUUCUGACACUAAGGCACGAAAGCGUAGGGAGCAAACGGGAUUAGAUACCCUUGUAGUC